AAUUCAAAUGAUAGGUUUAAUAGUUUGGUUUUACACGAAAUCGCGGUUGGCAGAAUAAUAUAUAAUAUAAAGCGUUAGACAUUUUUCCUAUUUUUGUUUUUUGUAUCAAUGAUUGUUUUCACUAUAUGAAACCCUCCAAGAGCAAAAGCUAUAAGUGCACCUAUACAAACUAUAAUCAAGUACAGCCUGGAGUCAUUGUCAAUUUGUUGAGAAAUUGUAAACAAAUGGAAUAAAAUAAAAUGUAUCCACAUGGUGGUGGAUGACCAAAAUUAUUGUUAUUAAUUAAUUUAUUAUGAUAAUAUCGCGGCGUCGAGAUUAGUUCGGUCGUCGCUCGGUAGCUUCCAGAGAUGUCACGACGGCUCGUUGAUUGGCGUUUUAAAUUUUUAAACACUGUAAUAUUGUAUUAAAUUAAAUUGUAUUGUUUUAGUGCAUGAUUGACAACUAAUAUACCAGGUGGUCCCGAGAAUGGCGGGAUAUUUGUGCUAAACAGUGUAAUUAAUAGGUAAUUAAUAUUUUGUUUCAUCUGUAUUUUAUAUCAUAUUAUGCUGUAAGUUACGUCGAUUAAAAUAACAUCAGUGACUACUAUUAGCGAUUACUCUUGUUCAUUCAUUUCUAUACCCUCCAACCUACACUGAAGGUUUUAUUUAAAAAUAAA